AUGUGGAUGUUUCUCAAGUUCUGGUUCAAGGUCUGGCUCAGGGGGCUCUUCAUGACUCCAGCGGCGUGGUCCCAAAGGCUGGGCUUUCCAUUUAUCAUUCCAUAUCCCUUGCUCUUUCCACCGGUUGGUGACAUUGUCGACUGCAUUCGUGGCGAAAGUAAGAUCCUUAUUAAAUGGCAGUGUAUCUUUUCGUCUUGUUUUCCGCCUCAUACUCUGGUCUAUCAGACGUUCCUCCUCUAUCCUUCGCUGGUAAGCGAACUGACGUUCUGGCAUCGAGUUAAGCCUUUCCUCCUUGCGCCGCUGCCGCUCCCUUCGUCGAUCAGCUUCUGUGAGGGGGCGAGGCGGACUGGGUGGUUGUGUCGUCUCUCGCGACGCGUAUGGCGGUGGAGGGUCACUGAAUGCGGAUCGCUCGCGGGCAAGAAGCUCGGGGUUGUCCUGUAACCUCCGAAGGGCGUUAAUGACUUGCGGUAACGUAAGGGCCCCAAGGCCAUUAAAUGUAGUGACCAUGAUCGCACAAUCAGGAGGAUAGGUUUGAUUUCAACACUGUUGGCCAGAAUAUCGCGAAUAAGGGAGAGAUCCGCACAGGGUCAGCAUGAAGGUACGAGUGAAAAAAUCAAUUUCGAAGCUCAAAGUUGACGGACCGAAAAGUUGUCCUUGGGGUUGGGGGAGAUCGGUCGGGCGGUUGUUGACACUUGUUGUUAAGGCUGGGCGUUGCUUGGUGGGUGUAUGGGAGCCUUGUAAUAUUAAAUGUACACCGAAGCAAGAGAAUUCCAACCACAAUAUUUUCCACAGGGCCGAAAAAUGUUAUGUUUGAAGAAGUUCCUCCUUGAUCCUCAAUAAUGUGUUUUGUGCGCGCACAGUAUGCGUUCACAGGGUGUUGUUGGGACACUGCGAGAAUCAAAUGGAGCCAAAGUAUGGAGUUAGAUAGGCAUAAUAAAUUAAGGGUGAAUGGUGUAUUUCAACAAGGCCAUUCGGAGCGGGCAGAUCCCAGCCGCAAAGUUCAAACUCUGGGCCGCAGAAGCUUUAUUUCCUUUUUAUUUCCGUUUCUUUCUUUUCUUUUCUUUUCGUCUAUUAGUGUAUUUUACGGAGCACAGUGCGUCGAAUGACUGAGAUUGUGAGGCUCGAAAUGCUCUGGAUAAAAUUGCCCACCAACAAAUAGGGAAGCAGGCAUGAAUGCCGAGGAAGCAAGCAAGUAACCAGCUAACUAUUCACAAUAAUACAGCCCAAACAUAUGG
rnacentral:sRNA from 1 species